GUCCUUCUAGUAUACUAAAUACAACUGACUUCCAAUCAUUAAAACCUGGUCUCGUAACCCAGGGAAGGACA
rnacentral:tRNA from 1 species